UAAUCUCUUACUUUUCAAACUUAGACAUAUUCAACGAAUAUUUGAACUUUAAUAUUUAAUAUUGAUUGAUGCAUGUUUGAACUCAGUCAAUUCAUUACCAGCCAGCUCUAUAAAUAUGGAGAUCAAAAUCUCAAAGCCUUCAUAUUGUUUUCAGAUACAUCCCCAGGUUCCUACAAGAGAUCAGAAGCACAAAGUUAAGCUAUAAGUCUACAACGCUUGGUUUUUUACAAAAGAAGAACAGAAAGGAGGGCAUAAUUUUCAGCCUUUUUCUUGAAAAAAUAAACAGAUAGUUCUGCAAGAUAAAGUACUGAUCUGAACCAUGAUAAAUCAUCCUAAUUCAGGGCAAACGAAUUUGGAGUCAGCCACAAAAUGUUGCAGCAAUAUCGUAAGAAGUCAAGCUAUUUUGAAUAGAAUAAAUAAAGCCACAAGCAGUGGGCAGAGAGUUUUAAACGGUGGCUCAAAUACAACAUCAAGGUCUGGAUUUCAGGGAGAAGUGGAGGGAUCAACGCCAAAGCUCGAGCGGUUUAAGAUAAGAACAGUAGAAACAGGUCAAGUUGUGAAGGAUGAUAAAGACAAGCAAUCAAAACAUUAAAGCUGUUGCAUUACUUCUUUUCUUUUUCAUGUGUUCAGAUUCUUUGAUUCUUUUGUAAUGAAAGGAAAUUGUAAGUAUUUUCUUUCUAUGAAGUCAAUGGCUACCAGCCACACCGUAACAAAGACGGUACUUUAAUACAACACCAAUAUUUUGUCAGUUCAAAUUAUGUUAGAAUUGCGAAUUGGUUAAAUUAUAAUUUUUGCUUAUUGAUUUAUGAAAUCAGUCAGAUUAAUGAAAUCACAUUAGGUGUAGGUAUGUGAGUAUAACAUUGUUUUUAUUUUUAUUUCUUUUUAUUAAUAAAAAAUAAUAAAAAUAUAGAUCAAACAAAUCUAAAUAAUCAUCACUUUACACAUAAUGAUUGGGUAACUCCACAAAUUAACUUUUCCUCAAAUUCUCUCAUAUUUACUCCCUUAUUAUGUGUUUUUGGCUGCUUAAUUAUUUAUAUACACACUUUUUUUAUUUGUAUUCAUUGAUAUUUAAGUGCGCGCAUAAGUUAUUUAGAAGGGGUUAGGGAUGUAUAUUUUAUCUAAAUUCAAUGGAAAUUCUGAUUUUUUUUUAUCUUAAUGAAGAAAGAGAUGAUAUUAAAUUUUGAAAUAAUAAUGAAAAUAAAUAUGAUUUUAAAUUUUUUAUGAAUAUGAGCAUGGAAGUGGAUAAUAUAGCAUUCGUUUCAUAUUCGUAU
rnacentral:lncRNA from 1 species